GAUGAACGCUAGCGGGAGGCCUAACACAUGCAAGCUGAGCGGUAGAGUUUCUUCGGAGACUUGAGAGCGGCGUACGGGUGCGGAACACGUGUGCAACCUGCCUUUAUCAGGGGGAUAGCCUUUCGAAAGGAAGAUUAAUACCCCAUAAUAUAUAGAGUGGCAUCACUUUAUAUUGAAAACUGAGGUGGAUAAAGAUGGGCACGCGCAAGAUUAGAUAGUUGGUGAGGUAACGGCUCACCAAGUCGAUGAUCUUUAGGGGGUCUGAGAGGGUGAUCCCCCACACUGGUACUGAGACACGGACCAGACUCCUACGGGAGGCAGCAGUGAGGAAUAUUGGACAAUGGGUUAGCGCCUGAUCCAGCCAUCCCGCGUGAAGGACGACGGCCCUAUGGGUUGUAAACUUCUUUUGUACAGGGAUAAACCUAUUUACGUGUAAAUAGCUGAAGGUACUGUACGAAUAAGCACCGGCUAACUCCGUGCCAGCCGCCGCCGUAA
rnacentral:rRNA from 1 species